UUGCCCAGUGAUAUACAACUCAUAGA
rnacentral:piRNA from 1 species